CCUACGGGAGGCAGCAGUCGAGAAUCAUUCACAAUGGGGGAAACCCUGAUGGUGCGACGCCGCGUGGGGGAAUGAAGGUCUUCGGAUUGUAAACCCCUGUCAUGUGGGAGCAAAUUAAAAAGAUAGUACCACAAGAGGAAGAGACGGCUAACUCUGUGCCAGCAGCCGCGGUAAUACAGAGGUCUCAAGCGUUGUUCGGAAUCACUGGGCGUAAAGCGUGCGUAGGCUGUUUCGUAAGUCGUGUGUGAAAGUCGCGGGCUCAACCCGCGGACGGCACAUGAUACUGCGAGACUAGAGUAGUGGAGGGGGAACCGGAAUUCUCGGUGUAGCAGUGAAAUGCGUAGAUAUCGAGAGGAACACUCGUGGCGAAGGCGGGUUCCUGGACAUUAACUGACGCUGAGGCACGAAGGCCAGGGGAGCGAAAGGGAUUAGAUACCCCAGUAGUC
rnacentral:rRNA from 1 species